CACGUAGGCACCAAGCGUUGUCCGGAUUUAUUGGGCGUAAAGAGCUCGUAGGCGGUUCGGUAAGUCGGGCGUGAAAACUUUGGGCUUAACCCAAAGACUGCACUCGAUACUGCUGUGACUUGAGUCCGGUAGGGGAGUGGGGAAUUCCUGGUGUAGCGGUGGAAUGCGCAGAUAUCAGGAGGAACACCGGUGGCGAAGGCGCCACUCUGGGCCGGUACUGACGCUGAGGAGCGAAAGCGUGGGGAGCGAACAGG
rnacentral:rRNA from 1 species